AGCAGUGUGGCUCAGUGGAAAGAGCACGGGCUUGGGAGUCAGAGGUCAUGGGUUCUAAUCCCAACUCCGCCG
rnacentral:tRNA from 1 species